rnacentral:rRNA from 1 species
UGGGGAAUUUUGGACAAUGGGGGCAACCCUGAUCCAGCCAUGCCGCGUGAGUGAAGAAGGCCUUCGGGUUGUAAAGCUCUUUCGGCGGGGACGAAACGGUCCGUGACAACACCACGGACUAAUGACGGUACUCGCAGAAGAAGCACCGGCUAACUACGUGCCAGCAGCCGCGGUAAUACGUAGGGUGCAGGCGUUAAUCGGAAUUACUGGGCGUAAAGCGUGCGCAGGCGGCUCCUUAAGUCAGAUGUGAAAUCCCCGGGCUUAACCUGGGAACUGCGUUUGAAACUGGGGAGCUAGAGUGUGGAAGAGGGGGGUGGAAUUCCAGGUGUAGCAGUGAAAUGCGUAGAGAUCUGGAGGAACACCGAUGGCGAAGGCAGCCCCCUGGGCUAACACUGACGCUCAUGCACGAAAGCGUGGGGAGCAAACAGGAUUAGAUACCCCCGUAGUCCCUGAG